rnacentral:lncRNA from 1 species
AAAAAAAAACAACUUGCAGGGAUUCGAUAUUAUACCUUUUCCCAACUUGAAGAUUGACUUGCUCGCUGAAAUCCGCCAACAGACGGGGAUGAGUAUCGUAGAACAAGGCAACGAAGUCUGCAAUAAUCACUCUUGUUCUUAAUUACUUUCAACACAAAAAUACCCACACUGAGACCCAGUUACGAGCACAAUGUGAAGCUUACCGUUAACCAAGCUCAGGAACUCCGAGUAUAUGGGGUGUUGGGGUUGAACUCGGUCUGGGUUAGCUCAUCCGAGUCGUUGGGGUCGGAGUUGGGACGGAUCUCGGUGAGGAUCCGAUUGUCUCUUCGACGAAGCCGCAGCAGAUGGUGAUUUUGAUUUUGUUGAAGGUUUUCUAGAUCUGGCACCCUCACACAGAUGAACCCACACAACUAUGCUCUAAAAGAUAGCCAAGGCUCUUGAGUUCUUGCUAGAGAUGACAAGGGGAGAAGGUGGAGAUGGAUGGGUUGAAAUUGAGUGCAAUAAAAAAGCGUCUUUUGUUGGCUCUGGACUCAAGGUUAGACGAAGGGGAUCCAAUAUGUUUUCAAAUGACACAUGCAGCGGAUGCACUAGGUUAUAUUGAAGCCGUUGCCAGUAUUUGACAUGUGUGGACUUGGGAUGUUGGUCAGCACGCUUCGCAUCCCAGCUACAGGUCAUGCCUUCGAAUCACCGCAGCGUCACCUCUGCAUCCCUGGUGUGUUCAUUUUUAUUUUUUAUUUAGUUUUUUUAUUUUUCUCUUUUACUUUUUUCUGUUUAUGUUUUAUAUCUUUUCUAUUUAUUUUUUAUUUUUCUCUCCUAAUUUACUUCUUUGGUUGUUUCCUUUGUUUAUUUUCCACACCUUGAGGACAAAGUGUGAUUUAAGUUUUGGGGGUGGGAAAGUAAAUUUUAUAUUUUUAAUUUUUUGAGUCUUGUUUAAAA